rnacentral:lncRNA from 1 species
CCUUCUCUUGUUGAAGUAGCACACGGGUGACACUGUCAGCAAACCUACUCAGUUCUGAAUGCUCCAUGUCAGUGCGCGGACCUGCAGCGGAGUAGUAUUAGAAAAAAAAAUUAACUGGGGGUGGGGAGGGGGUAAAAUGACAAUGGACACCCUGUUGUCUUGCCUUUUCUUUUCUUUUUUUGUUUGCUAUACCUUGCAGCAACACUGGCUCAUGCAGCAUAUCUGUGUGAUGUGGUCCCUUUUCAUACGCAAUGCGUUGACCUGUAGCAUCAACCGCAACCUCAUCUGCAUCGUGCGGACCUGCACCAACAAUGCAUGAUUUACUUCACAUGUAUGUAAUUACAGUAUCCAGUGCCUGGCAAUUUUUAGCAUGACAUUGAUGGCAACUUUUAAGUUGAGAUGAACCGCAGCACAUCAUUUCUGACCAAUAAUCAAUCUCACGGAUGCAAGUGUUUUUUUUUUAAAACCUUGCGAAAGCGAUAUGACUUGAUGUAGCAGCGGUAGCAGCGGGUAUGAGGCAUGCAGUCCAUCAAAGGUUUCCGCCAAAACAUCAUCCGGGGUCAAUGUUGCGAUCCUUUCGUUUUUUUCCUUUUUCGCAGGCGCCCUCCUGUUUAGAUAAGGAAAUACAUCGUCAAACUAGUGCGCACUUUGUCAUUGCAAGGUCAAACCAUUGUAGCAGUUUUGCAUA